UCUAUAGAAAAAAAUAGGAAAAGGGGAUAGUUUAGUAAAUCGGGGGAGCUUCUAGAAGAAAUAAAAUUAAGUCCGCGUGUGGACUAUGGAGAUUCAUUUUCCCCUUUCUUUGAUUUCUAUCCCUGCUUCUGCUACUACUGGACACAUAUUCUCUCUCUCUGUCUCUCGAUCUCUCAGAGUUCUUUUUCUUUCUUCCAUUCGAUUCAUUGUCAUAACAUUGAAUCGAAUAUCUGUUCUCAACAAGAUUAAUCAGAGUUAUCUUUCCUAAACCUAUAUCUCAGAAACAAACGAUCUUCAGAAACCAAACCCAAUCAUUCAAUAAUCCAUUUGAACCCUAGAAGUUUGAUUUUCUCCGACAUAAUCCCUCGAAAAUGAAAUCUCUAUACUCUAUGCAUGACCUAUUGCUUACUAGCCCAAGAAUAAUAAAACCAUAGAUUUUUCAUAUUGAGAAGAUUAGUCAAAAGAAGAGAAGUAGUAAGAAUUAGAUUUUGGGGGGUUCUCAAGCACAACAGUUUCAUGGUGAGCCAUCUAAAUGACAUUGUUAAGAGAUUAGACAGUGAAUCAGUGAAGUGCAACCCACUUUAACAGAAGACAGUGAACCAGUGAUGCAUACUAGCCGUGUUCCAAGCGUUGUGGAAUACCUUGUCCAGUGGGAGGAAUUAUUAUCUACGCUGCACAUGAGGAUAAGAAUCAGAUUUACCUGUCAUCCGUGAAGCAUCCAACGCAAUUUCAUUAGAGAGCUGAAUUCGGAUUGAUGGGGGAUCAAAUGUUGAGAAACUUGGGGUUGCAAAACAUCCAAACUUUUAUUAAAAUGGUGCUGGCAUUUAUGUUAGCAUCUCUAUUUCCUUGGGAUUGGAUCAAACUUGGAUUUGAUCUUGUAUUGGGUACCUCCAAUUUAGACGAUGGAUUGUGCGGUCACUUAACAAAGUAUAGUUGCAUCUCUGGAGAUGUAAAUCACAAUUAAUGGAAGCAUUAAUAAGCAGGAUAUUCGAGCAUUUCUGAAUUGGGAUGAAGUCCAUUUCGAUUUUCCAUUGUCAAGAUGCCCCUCCAACUCAUCCAACUGAUAAGUUGGAGCCUGUAUGAUUCAAUUAUAGUCAGAAGCACAAGAUAGAUAAAUCUAUGGAUAUGGAGUUGCAUCGAAAUGUUAAUUGUAGAGGUUGUCAAAGGUAACCACUUGGUAAGUAUUGUGUUGUAGACGUUGCUUCUACUAUUGUUGUUGAAACGCUUUAACAUAUAAGCUGGUUGAACUAGACACUUGAUUAUAAGAGUAUUAUGGAAGUAGAACCACCUGUAAAAACUCUUAGAUGAUAAUCACUAUAAAUUAUAAGGCAGUUGUUUCUGAGAACACUUUAUAUAUAAUAAAGGUUUACUUGUACGCCA